AGUUCAUAAAAGGGAUAAUUCAAUUGCAACAUAUUGCAAAGCAUGCUAUACGCAUUUACUGAUCCAAAGAAAGCGACUAAAUGGAAAAGAUACAAUUUAAGAAGAAUUGAUUCCAUAUGAAAGACAUGUAGUUUUGAACCUAUAGUUCAAACACUUGAAAGUAUAAAGUCAAAGGUAUGUAUAGUCAGUUUUCGAUAUCUUAUUUGUCUAGCAUG
rnacentral:lncRNA from 1 species